GGAUAACCUACCCUUAGGACUGGGAUAACCUUGGGAAACUGAGGAUAAUACCGGAUAGGCAAUUUUUCCUGUAAUGGUUCUUUGUUUAAAUGUUUUUUCGCCUAAGGAUGGGUCUGCGGCCGAUUAGGUAGUUGGUUAGGUAAUGGCUUACCAAGCCGUUGAUCGGUACGGGUUGUGAGAGCAAGAGCCCGGAGAUGGAACCUGAGACAAGGUUCCAGGCCCUACGGGGCGCAGCAGGCGCGAAACCUCCACAAUGUGAGAAAUCGCGAUGGGGGGAUCCCAAGUGCCAUUCUUAACGGGAUGGCUUUUCAUUAGUGUAAAAAGCUUUUGGAAUAAGAGCUGGGCAAGACCGGUGCCAGCCGCCGCGGUAACACCGGCAGCUCUAGUGGUAGCAACUUUUAUUGGGCCUAAAGCGUCCGUAGCCGGUUUAAUAAGUCUCUGGUGAAAUCCUGUAGCUUAACUGUGGGAAUUGCUGGAGAUACUAUUAGACUUGAGACCGGGAGAGGUUGGAGGUACUCCCAGGGUAGAGGUGAAAUUCUGUAAUCCUGGGAGGACCGCCUGUUGCGAAGGCGUCUAACUGGAACGGUUCUGACGGUGAGGGACGAAAGUUAGGGGCGCGAACCGGAUUAGAUACCCGGGUAGUCCUAACUGUAAACGAUGCGGACUUGGUGUUGGGGUGGCUUUGAGCUGUCCCAGUGCCGAAAGGGAAGCUGUUAAGUCCGCCGCCUGGG
rnacentral:rRNA from 1 species